UACGUAGGGUGCAAGCGUUAAUCGGAAUUACUGGGCGUAAAGCGUGCGCAGGCGGUUUUGUAAGUCUGUCGUGAAAUCCCCGGGCUCAACCUGGGAACUGCAUUUGUGACUGCAUCGCUGGAGUGCGGCAGAGGGGGAUGGAAUUCCGCGUGUAGCAGUGAAAUGCGUAGAUAUCAGGAGGAAUACCGAUGGCGAAGGCAGGUCUCUGGGCAACAACUGACGCUGAGGAGCGAAAGCGUGGGGAGCGAACAGG
rnacentral:rRNA from 1 species